UGCCGUUUUUUAAGGAAUUACAACUACCUUGACAUGGUAGGGGUCACAGGUUCAAUCCCUGUUGCGCCCACCA
rnacentral:tRNA from 1 species